rnacentral:rRNA from 1 species
AAUGAACGCUGGCGGCAUGCUUUACACAUGCAAGUCGAACGGAGUAGAGCUUGCUCUACUUAGUGGCAAACGGGUGAGUAACGCACGAGAAUCUGCCUUUGGGUAAGGAAUAAUCAGGGGAAACUCUGACUAAUACCUUAUAAUAUGCGCAAGCAUCAAAGAUUUAUCGCCCAAAGAAGAGCUCGUGUCAGAUUAGGUAGUUGGUGGGGUAAAAGCCUACCAAGCCUGUGAUCUGUAGCUGGUCUGAGAGGAUGAUCAGCCACACUGGGACUUAGACACGGCCCAGACUCCUACGGGAGGCAGCAGUGGGGAAUAUUGGACAAUGGGGGCAACCCUGAUCCAGCAAUGCCGCGUGAGUGAAGAAGGCCUUUGGGUUGUAAAGCUCUUUCACCUGUGACGAUAAUGACGGUAGCAGGACAAGAAGCCCCGGCUAACUCCG